UACAGAGGUCUCAAGCGUUGUUCGGAUUCAUUGGGCGUAAAGGGUGCGUAGGCGGCGCGGUAAGUCGGGUGUGAAAUCUUGGAGCUUAACUCCGAAACUGCAUUUGAUACUGGCGUGCUUGAGGACUGGGGAGGAGACUGGAAUUCACGGUGUAGCAGUGAAAUGCGUAGAUAUCGUGAGGAAGACCAGUGGCGAAGGCGGGUCUCUGGACAGUUCCUGACACUGAGGCACGAAGGCCAGGGGAGCAAACGGG
rnacentral:rRNA from 1 species